GGAAUUAUCUGCCUGAAAAGGCAGUUUUAUCAGAGUCCAUACAGAUGUUUAACCCCUUAAGGACACAUGACAUGUGUGACAUGUCAUGAUUCCCUUUUAUUCCAGAAGUUUGGUCCUUAAAGGGUUAAACAGCAAUUGGAUAAAUACUUCAAAAAACAUAACAUACAGGGAUAUCAUUUCUAUUUUGUGGGGUAAAAGCUGCUUGAUCCAAGGAGAUAUCUGACUGCCAUUUUGGGGUCAAGAAGGAGUUUUUUCCUAGUUUGUUGCAAAAUUGGAAGUGCUUCAGACUGGGUUUUUUGCCUUUUUUGGAUCAACAGCGAAAACAUAUGUGAGGAAGGCUGAACUUGAUG